GUGACGUCAUCGCCAUCUUGAUUGCUGAUUCGCACGAUAGCGCACGACCAAUCAACGUGUUCGUCUACACUGAGGCUUCCUAUCGCGACGAUUUCCACGGAAUCAGGGAACGCACCACUGAGAACUAGAACCCCUUUUCCAGGAAUACCUGAGUAACAUGUAUAUAUUACCAUUACAAAGAUGAACCAUAAUCUGCACUACGAAUCAGACAUAACAAGAAAUGACAUUGCGAAGAAUAUGCGAAGUGUAACAGCUCGACACAAUGUAUGACAGCGGUGGAAAUAUGUCAAGGAAUUACUCAGGGGGAUUUGCUCCGUAGCUAUAUUUUCCAGAUUCGAGGAUCGCAGAAUAACAAAAAUUGGUAAACUUAUCGCGACGUUGAGUGGUCGUCACUUAUGCGAGAUCGUUUGUCACACGUGCUGUUUCGUUUCUUACUAUUUCGGUACCGGGAAUUCCCUCGUGCAUGCACGGUUCUUUGUUCUUAUUUCGAUAUACGUAUAUUCGUCACAAACACACGUACAACGAACUCGGCUCAAACUCCGUCGUUCCGCUCAAACGUUCAACGUACGUUGUACACGAAUUAAAAAGAGAAAAAAGUAGUACGCGUGGCCAGAGCUACCGUGUGCAAGAUGCAUAAUGGGAAUUUAUGGCAAUUCCCUAAUUAUGGGGAAAAGGCUAUAAAAAUUAUCGCAAAAACAUUCUGCGAUAGAGUUACACGCCCAUAAAAUUUUAUUAUUAUUGUAUCUUUUUUCUUUUUGAAAAUUUAUCUAGUAAACUUAAACUCUUUUCUUUUAUGUUAUCUUAUAUAAAUCACAACUUGAGAAAUGUUAUUUCUAAAAUAUUUAUUGGUCAGUUUUAAAAUAAGAAUAAAUGGUUACCAGACUUCA